AUUGAACGCUGGCGGCAGGCCUAACACAUGCAAGUCGAGCGGAAGAAGGGAGCUUGCUCCUGGAUUCAGCGGCGGACGGGUGAGUAAUGCCUAGGAAUCUGCCUGGUAGGGGGGGAUAACGUCCGGAAACGGGCGCUAAUACCGCAUACGUCCUGAGGGAGAAAGUGGGGGAUCUUCGGACCUUACGCUAUCAGAUGAGCCUAGGUCGGAUUAGCUAGUUGGUGGGGUAAAGGCCUACCAAGGCGACGAUCCGUAACUGGUCUGAGAGGAUGAUCAGUCACACUGGAACGGAGACACCGUCCAGACGCCUACGGGAGGCAGCAGUGGGGAAUAUUGGACAAUGGGGGAAAGCCUGAUCCAGCCAUGCCGCGUGUGUGAAGAAGGUCUUCGGAUUGUAAAGCACUUUAAGUUGGGAGGAAGGGCAGUAAGUUAAUACCUUGCUGUUUUGACGUUACCAACAGAAUAAGCACCGGCUAACUUCGUG
rnacentral:rRNA from 1 species